CCUACGGGAGGCUGCAGUGGGGAAUAUUGCACAAUGGGGGCAACCCUGAUGCAGCGACGCCGCGUGAGGGAAGAAGUAAUUCGUUACGUAAAGCUCUAUCAGCAGGGAAGAAAAUGACGGUACCUGAGUACGAAGCCCCGGCUAACUACGUGCCAGCAGCCGCGGUAAUACGUCGGGGGCACGCGGUAUCCGGAUUUACUGGGUGUAAAGGGAGCGUAGACGGUGCGCCAAGUCUGGAGUGAAAUGCCGCAGCUUAACUGCGGAACUGCUUUGGAAACUGGCGAACUAGAGUGCGGGAGGGGUAAGCGGAAUGCCUAGUGUAGCGGUGAAAUGCGUAGAUAUUAGGAGGAACACCGGUGGCGAAGGCGGCUUACUGGACCGUAACUGACGCUGAGGCUCGAAAGCGUGGGGAGCAAACAGGAUUAGAUACCCGGGUAGUC
rnacentral:rRNA from 1 species